GAUGAACGCUGGCGGCGUGCCUAAUACAUGCAAGUCGAGCGAACGGACGAGAAGCUUGCUUCUCUGAUGUUAGCGGCGGACGGGUGAGUAACACGUGGAUAACCUACCUAUAAGACUGGGAUAACUUCGGGAAACCGGAGCUACUACCGGAUAAUAUUUUGAACCGCAUGGUUCAAAAGUGAAAGACGGUCUUGCUGUCACUUAUAGAUGGAUCCGCGCUGCAUUAGCUAGUUGGUAAGGUAACGGCUUACCAAGGCAACGAUGCAUAGCCGACCUGAGAGGGUGAUCGGCCACACUGGAACUGGGACACGGUCCAGACGCCUACGGGAGGCAGCAGUAGGGAAUCUUCCGCAAUGGGCGAAAGCCUGACGGAGCAACGCCGCGUGAGUGGUGAAGGUCUUCGGAUCGUAAAACUCUGUUAUUAGGGAAGAACAUAUGUGUAAGUAACUGUGCACAUCUUGACGGUACCUAAUCAGAAAGCCACGGCUAACUACGUG
rnacentral:rRNA from 1 species